CUGACGUAUGAGAUGGACCCGCGUCUGAUUAGGUAGUUGGUGGGGUAACGGCCUACCAAGCCGACGAUCAGUAGCCGACCUGAGAGGGUGACCGGCCACAUUGGGACUGAGACACGGCCCAAACUCCUACGGAAGGCAGCAG
rnacentral:rRNA from 1 species